AUUGAACGCUGGAGGCAGGCCUAACACAUGCAAGUCGAACGAGUGGAGGACGGGUGAGUAAUGUCUGGGAAAAUGCCUGAUGGAGGGGGAUAACUACUGGAAAUGGUAGCUAAUACCGAAUACGAUCGGAGGCGUCCAGAGGGGAUUAGCUUGUGGGCGGGGUAACGGCUCACCUAGGCGACGAUCCCUAGCUGGUCUGAGAGGAUGAUUGUCCUCAGUGGAACUGUGACACGGUCCAGACUCCUACGGGAGGCAGCAGUGGUGAAUAUUGCACAAUUGGCGCAAGCCUGAUGCAGCCAUGCCGCGUGUAUGAAGAAGGCCUUCAUGUUGUAAAGUACUUUCAUCGGGGAUGCGUUGCCCUCAGAAGAAGCACCGGCUAACUCCGUGCCAGCAGCCGCGGUAAUUC
rnacentral:rRNA from 1 species